CGUGUCUCUACUACGUUGUGUUGUGUGUGUGUGUGUGUUUGUUGUUUUGGUGUUGUUGUUUGGUGGUGUGUGUGUGUGUGUUGUUUGUGUUGGUGGUGGUGUUUUUGUGGAGUGCCAAUGCAUGUAUGGCUAUCCUCUACACAGCACAUGUAGUCGUAGUAGCAGACAGCUAAUAUGCCAUUACUACUAUGCACAUGCAUCUACCAUCUAUGCAUUGGCACGACCUCAGAGAAGACGUGCAUGCCAUUCAUGUAGUGCAUACGUUAGUAGGUAGUUAGGUAGUACAGCAUGCUUAAGUAUCUCCCUGCACAUAGUACAUUGUCUUGCUGUCGUUCAUGCCUGGCUAAGCACUCGCAUAGGUAGUAGCAUAGCUUUUUUUUU
rnacentral:rRNA from 1 species